CUUUUCGAGGUAGGAGUCGACUCCUGUGAGGUAUGUUUUAUCUUUGCGAAUGUUGCGGGUUUUGGGGCGCUCCAGCCUUUGUCUGCUAAGGUCACCCUGAAUUGACUGGGACUUCUAAGCCAGUCGCGCGCCUUUGCAGGGCCUACAAGUUGAGGAUGGUGGGGGAUUGCACAUAUGGUGCAUGCGUGACCUAAGCUGCGACUAUGUUAGAGUAGAACUGCGGAGAAGCCUCGGCUCUCGUGCCCUGCCUCUGAUGAAGCCUGUGUUGGUAGGGACAUCUGAGAGUAAUGAUGAAUGCCAACCGCUCUGAUGGUGGCACAUGCCGAGUCACCCGAGUAAGCUAUUGUUAAGGGCCGUGACCCGAGCCUCCAUCAGCCGUCCGCUCUCAUGAAAGGCUGUCGGUGGUAGUCCACGUGCUUAAGUGCCUGCAUUCCGCAGUGUCACCAAUAUUUCCAUUAGUGUUUCUUUUUUCUUUUUUGAGACCGAGCCUCGUUCUGUCACCCAGGCUGGAAUGCAGUGGCUCGACAUCGGUUAAUGGCAACCUCCGCGUCCCGAGUUAAGCAGUUCUGCCUCAGCCUCCCAAGUAACUGGGACUACAGGCGCGCGCCACCAUGCUAGGCUUUUAUAUUUUUAGUAGAGACGGGGUUUCACCAUGUUGGCGAGACUGGUCUUGAACUCCUGACCUCAGGUGAUCCACCAGCCGUGGUCCCCCAACAUACUGGGAUUACAAGCCGUGAGCCACCGCGCCCGGCCGCCAUCGGUGGUUCUUAACUGCGGGUGCAGUGCUUCUUUGUAACAUUAAGUGUAUCCUUUACCUGUCGCUAGAUAAUGAAUGGUAUGUUACCUGCAUCAUUGGUUUAAAAAGACGAACCGUUUUUUUAAAGAACACUCUUUAAAAAAAAGAACCGUGGAACAAUGAAUUAAAAUCUGUACCUGAUCUCUUUAGGUAUGGUGCUGGGUGCAGAUGCAGUGUGGCUCUGGAUAGCACCUUAUGGACAGUUGUGUCCCCAAGGAAGGAUGAGAAUAGCUACUGAAGUCCUAAAGAGCAAGCCUAACUCAAGCCAUUGGCACACAGGCAUUAGACAGAAAGCUGGAAGUUGAAAUGGUGGAGUCCAACUUGCCUGGACCAGCUUAAUGGUUCUGCUCCUGGUAACGUUUUUAUCCAUGGAUGACUUGCUUGGGUAUGGAGAGUCGGCUUGACUACACUGUGUGGAGCAAGUUUUAAAGAAGCAAAGGACUCAGAAUUCAUGAUUGAAGAAAUGCAGGCAGACCUGUUAUCCUAAACUAGGGUUUUUAAUGACCACAACAAGCAAGCAUGCAGCUUACUGCUUGAAAGGGUCUUGCCUCACCCAAGCUAGAGUGCAGUGGCCUUUGAAGCUUACUACAGCCUCAAACUUCUGGGCUCAAGUGAUCCUCAGCCUCCCAGUGGUCUUUGUAGACUGCCUGAUGGAGUCUCAUGGCACAAGAAGAUUAAAACAGUGUCUCCAAUUUUAAUAAAUUUUUGCAAUCCA
rnacentral:lncRNA from 1 species